rnacentral:lncRNA from 1 species
ACGGCAUAAAAUUUUUGCACAUUUUUUUUUCUUUCCUCUCCUAGAGGAUCGACGUCGUGCAGAUGAACCUCUCACUAAAUUCACUGGCUCCUUUUGGAGCUGGUGAUCCUUCUCAAAAGUCUAUAACAACCCUAGCAAAUCAUGAUAGUUCACUAUAUGUUUCAUCAUUCUAUAAUGACUGAGAAAGGAUAAGUAGGAUUUCAAUAGCAAAUUAAGGAUGGCAUCCU